rnacentral:rRNA from 1 species
AUUGAACGCUGGCGGCAUGCUUUACACAUGCCAGUCGAACGGUAACAGGCCUUCGGGUGCUGACGAGUGGCGAACGGGUGAGUAAUGCAUCGGAACGUACCCAGAGGUGGGGGAUAACGCAGCGAAAGCUGUGCUAAUACUGCAUGUGAUCUGAGGAUGAAAGCGGGGGACCGAGCAGCAAUGUUUGGCCUCGCGCCUUUGGAGCGGCCGAUGUCGGAUUAGCUAGUUGGUGGGGUAAAGGCCUACCAAGGCGACGAUCCGUAGCUGGUCUGAGAGGACGACCAGCCACACUGGGACUGAGACACGGCCCAGACUCCUACGGGAGGCAGCAGUGGGGAAUUUUGGACAAUGGGCGCAAGCCUGAUCCAGCAAUGCCGCGUGCGGGAAGAAGGCCUUCGGGUUGUAAACCGCUUUUGGCAGGAACGAAACGGUGUCCGCUAAUACCGGGCGCUAAUGACGGUACCUGCAGAAUAAGCACCGGCUAACUACGUG